GACGAACGCGGCGGCAUGCCUAAUACAUGCAAGUAGAACGCACAGGAUACACCGUAGUUUACUACACCGUAUUCUGUGAGUUGCGAACGGGUGAGUAACGCGUAGGUAACCUGCCUGGUAGCGGGGGAUAACUAUUGGAAACGAUAGCUAAUACCGCAUAAGAACAUUUACUGCAUGGUAGAUGUUUAAAAGGUGCAAAUGCAUCACUACCAGAUGGACCUGCGUUGUAUUAGCUAGUAGGUGAGGUAACGGCUCACCUAGGCGACGAUACAUAGCCGACCUGAGAGGGUGAUCGGCCACACUGGGACUGAGACACGGCCCAGACUCCUACGGGAGGCAGCAGUAGGGAAUCUUCGGCAAUGGGGGGAACCCUGACCGAGCAACGCCGCGUGAGUGAAGAAGGUUUUCGGAUCGUAAAGCUCUGUUGUUAAGGAAGAACGAGUGUGAGAGAUGGAAAAGUUCAUAACUG
rnacentral:rRNA from 1 species